rnacentral:rRNA from 1 species
CAGCAGCCACGGUAAUACGAAGGGGGCUAGCGUUGUUCGGAAUUACUGGGCGUAAAGCGCACGUAGGCGGACAUUUAAGUCAGGGGUGAAAUCCCGGGGCUCAACCCCGGAACUGCCUUUGAUACUGGGUGUCUAGAGUAUGGAAGAGGUGAGUGGAAUUCCGAGUGUAGAGGUGAAAUUCGUAGAUAUUCGGAGGAACACCAGUGGCGAAGGCGGCUCACUGGUCCAUUACUGACGCUGAGGUGCGAAAGCGUGGGGAGCAAACAGGAUUAGAUACCCGGGUAGUCCCUGUCUCUUAUAA